rfam:Xiphophorus maculatus strain JP 163 A Contig9.133, whole genome shotgun sequence.
AUCUUUGGUUAUCUAGCUGUAUGAGUGACGUACAUUCUUCAUAAAGCUAGAUAACCGAAAGU